rnacentral:rRNA from 1 species
CUUGGUGACAAUAGCGUUGUGGACCCACCUGACCCCAUGCCGAACUCAGAAGUGAAACGCAACAGCGCCGAUGAUAGUGUGGC